CGUUGUUUCAGAUCAAAGGGACCAAGCUGUUAAAAACAAUUAUCUUUUGUGUUUUUCCUUUAAAAUCUUCAAUGUUUUACUCAUACCAAGCUAUAAAUACAUUCAGUAUUUACACCAAAGCAAUUUAAAACAACAAUCAUGAUUUUCCAAUUAUUCAACUUGAAUUUGAAUUAAAAUUGAGCGCGAAUGAGUAGAGUGCGAACGGACCUUGGGUGCGAACGUGCUGCAAGGUGCGAAAGUGUAUUGGGCGCGAACAGACCUGAUACCACAAAAUAUUAAGUAAAUAAUCUUUUUGUUACUGUUAUCAAAGGUCUAAUGAAACUCAGGUAAUUUCAAACAUUUGUCAAAGAAUUCUAGUCAAACCGGCACCUGGUUAAAUUGGCACCUGGACAAAUCAGCACCUGGUUAAAUCGACACCUGAUAUAGUCAAUUCGUCACCCAUGUUAAAUAUAUAUUUUAACAGUAUUUUAAGCAAAAAGAGUAAAAAUAAGUAAGGGGUUGCCAGAAUUUUUUUCAGUAUUUAAGCAAAAAGAGUUAAAUACUAACUUUCACAUUUUUGGGUGUUCAUUGUACAUUUUGUAUAUAUUUUUUUCUCAACUAAAUGACAUUUUUGGUGUAUUUUUAAUGAUAUAUAUAUGAGUAGUCAAAAUAAUUAUUACGUCUGGCAAGGCUUUUUUAAUUUUAUUCUGGGACACCUUUCUAUGACCGCAAGGCUAUGUUAAUUUUUUUCUGGGACGCCUUCCUAAGAAAGCCUUCCUACGAACUUCGUAGGAAGACGUCACAGAAAAAAAAUAAAAUAGCCUUGCCAGACGUCAUAAUUAUUUGGACUAAUACAUGAGAUAUUGGAUAUUUUUAUGCAUUAUUUAAACCAGUUGAGCAUUUUACAGGAUUGUUUGUUUAAUGCUUUUUAAACUUUACUGAAAAAAAAACACCUUAAAUUUGCUUAUUAUUUGGCAUGAAAGUUUGAUUUAUUGAAAGGGACUCAUAGUUUUCCAUUUUUUUUUAAUAAUUGUCUAAUUGUUAAAACAACAGCUUGGGUAAGGGCUUCGUUGUUUACCUUUAUACACAACAACAUAAUUUCACUUUGGUUUCGUUGUUUACCUAAUACACAACAACAUAUUCACUAUGUACUUGGUAACAGUUAUUAAUUAAUUGAAUAGAAAAUAUUAUAACAAAUAUUAUUGGAUGCCGAAUUG
rnacentral:lncRNA from 1 species